rnacentral:rRNA from 1 species
UGCAGUCGAGCGGUAGAGAGGAGCUUGCUUCUCUUGAGAGCGGCGGACGGGUGAGUAAUGCCUAGGAAUCUGCCUGGUAGUGGGGGAUAACGUUCGGAAACGGACGCUAAUACCGCAUACGUCCUACGGGAGAAAGCAGGGGACCUUCGGGCCUUGCGCUAUCAGAUGAGCCUAGGUCGGAUUAGCUAGUUGGUGAGGUAAUGGCUCACCAAGGCGACGAUCCGUAACUGGUCUGAGAGGAUGAUCAGUCACACUGGAACUGAGACACGGUCCAGACUCCUACGGGAGGCAGCAGUGGGGAAUAUUGGACAAUGGGCGAAAGCCUGAUCCAGCCAUGCCGCGUGUGUGAAGAAGGUCUUCGGAUUGUAAAGCACUUUAAGUUGGGAGGAAGGGCAGUUGCUUAAUACGUAACUGUUUUGACGUUACCGACAGAAUAAGCACCGGCUAACUCUGUGCCAGCAGCCGCGGUAAUACAGAGGGUGCAAGCGUUAAUCGGAAUUACUGGGCGUAAAGCGCGCGUAGGUGGUUUGUUAAGUUGGAUGUGAAAUCCCCGGGCUCAACCUGGGAACUGCAUUCAAAACUGACUGACUAGAGUAUGGUAGAGGGUGGUGGAAUUUCCUGUGUAGCGGUGAAAUGCGUAGAUAUAGGAAGGAACACCAGUGGCGAAGGCGACCACCUGGACUGAUACUGACACUGAGGUGCGAAAGCGUGGGGAGCAAACAGGAUUAGAUACCCUGGUAGUCCACGCCGUAAACGAUGUCAACUAGCCGUUGGAAGCCUUGAGCUUUUAGUGGCGCAGCUAACGCAUUAAGUUGACCGCCUG